UGUGUAGGCGGAAUAGUAAGUCAGAUGUGAAAGCCUUGAGCUCAACUCAAGAAGUGCAUUUGAUACUGCUGUUCUAGAGUUCAGGAGAGGAAGGCAGAAUUCCAGGUGUAGAGGUGAAAUCCGUAGAUAUCUGGAGGAAUACCAGAGGCGAAGGCGGCCUUCUGGACUGAUACUGACGCUGAGACACGAAAGCGUGGGGAGCAAACAGGAUUAGAUACCCUGGUAGUC
rnacentral:rRNA from 1 species